rnacentral:lncRNA from 1 species
GGGAGGUGUGAGGCUGCAGCCAGAGGGAGGAAACUCAGGGUUGGGCUCACAGGAGAGACAGUGAGGACUGAGGCUGGAGGAGCAGAGGAGAGCACCCAAGGAGACAAAGAGAGGAGAAGAGGGUUUCAGGGCAGGACGUGAACAUGCCAGAGAAGCGUUUCCCAGCCUCCAGCCAGAAGCUAAGGACUUUGAGGAAGGAAAGAAGGUCGUGGGGCAUAUUGGUGUUUAGAGAGGCUGAGGGAGCGGGGGAAAGUGAGAGUGUGCAGGAGAAACUCAGCUGGAAAGGAUGCUUGGGAUUUACCUCCUCAGAAGAGCAGCAGUUGCAGAGAUCGGAGCAGCUGGAGCAAGUGUGGGGCAUUCGGCUUGAACCUGGAGACUCGGCGAUUCGAGACUCCUGUGCUCCCGCCUUCCCUCCCCAGGACAAAGGCGCGGAAACAGACCCAGAGAGAUGAAGGGACUCGCCUAAGGUCACACAGCAAGAGCG